GACGAACGCUGGCGGCGUGCUUAACACAUGCAAGUCGAACGGAAAGGCCCUGCUUUUGUGGGGUGCUCGAGUGGCGAACGGGUGAGUAACACGUGAGUAACCUGCCCUUGACUUUGGGAUAACUUCAGGAAACUGGGGCUAAUACCGGAUAGGAGCUCCUGCUGCAUGGUGGGGGUUGGAAAGUUUCGACGGUUGGGGAUGGACUCGCGGCUUAUCAGCUUGUUGGUGGGGUAGUGGCUUACCAAGGCUUUGACGGGUAGCCGGCCUGAGAGGGUGACCGGCCACAUUGGGACUGAGAUACGGCCCAGACUCCUACGGGAGGCAGCAGUGGGGAAUAUUGCACAAUGGGCGGAAGCCUGAUGCAGCAACGCCGCGUGCGGGAUGACGGCCUUCGGGUUGUAAGCCGCUUUCGCCUGUGACGAAGCGUGAGUGACGGUAAUGGGUAAAGAAGCACCGGCUAACUACGUG
rnacentral:rRNA from 1 species